CCAUGGUCCUAGACUGGGUUCCAGCUGCUGACAUGGCCUGAAUUCUCCGAGACUCAGAUUGCUUAUUCCUCCUGCAGCACCACCGGCUGUCAGGGCAAGACGUCUGCAUGGCCUCUGCCACCAACUGAGCAGACGGGGGGUUGGAGGGACCAGAAAUGCACAGAGAGGUUCAGGGAUUCCCCCAGAGUUACCAAACCAGCACUGGAACCAGGCGUGGGCAUCAGUAGAGCCAGAAGCUGGGGGUUCCACUAACGAUGAGCCACUGUAGUAAUAAGACACCUGUUGCUGAUGAGAAACUUGUCCUGAACGGUCCCUUGGCUGCCUGGGAGGCUGAAAUAAACAGCAAACACGCAUUCGAAGAAAGCAAAGCCUUUCAUGAAAGAGAAUUGGGUGGAAAGUUGCUUUGCUUUCCUAGAGUCCUUGGGAAAAAGAUCCUGACAUAAUUACUCCCAAGUCCGGGAUAAAUGAAUACAGAAAGUGCUUUACAGAACGCAGUGAGUCUGAUGGAUUUUAUUGAUCGGCUUUUCCCCGUGUUUCCUGGGGAAAUACUGCACCUUCCUCACUGCGGCUUCCUCACUCCGGCCCAGUGACAUAGACACGAUUGUUUUCAUUACAGGAUGGCAUUUCCUUUGAAUGAAAUAUGAAAUGGGGUGUAUUCCGCUCUCACUUCGGGCAGUGUGGUGCCUGG
rnacentral:lncRNA from 1 species